rnacentral:lncRNA from 1 species
CAAAGGAGCUGUUGGCUUUGGGGAUGACCAGUGAAAUAUACCUGCUGGAGCGUGUGCUGGAGCGCGGUGGGAGUUGCUAUGGUGACCAGUGAGCUGAGAUAAGGCGGAGUUUACCUAGCAAAUGUUUAUAGAUGAUCUGGAGCCAGUAGGUUUGGCGAUGAAUAUGAAGCGAGGACCAGCCAACGAGAGCAUACAGGUCACAGUGGUGGGUAGUCUAUGGGGCUUUGGUGACAAAACGGAUGUCACUGUGAUAGACUGCAUCCAAUUUGCUGAGUAGAGUGUUGGAGGCUAUUUUGUAAAUGACAUCGCCGAAGUCAAGGAUCGGUAGGAUGGUCAGUUUUACGGGGUAUGUUUGGCAGCAUACCCCGUAAAUAGGAAGCCGAUUCUAGAUCUAACUUUGGAUUGGAGAUGCUUAAUGUGAGUCUGGAAGGAGAGUUUACAGUCUAGCCAGACACCUAGGUAUUUAUAGUUGUCCACAUACUCUAAGUCAGAACCGUCCAGAGUUGUGAUGCUAGUCAUGCGGGCAUUUCGUUUUACUUGUAUUUAAGAGCAGUUGGAAGCCACGGAAGGAGUGUUGUAUGGCGGGAUUCGAAAUGGUUUGUGAUCUGUUUGUUCACUUGGCUUUCGAAGACUUUAGAAAAGCAGGGCAGGAUGGAUAUAGGUCUGUAAUAGUUUGGGUCAAGAGUGUCUCCCCCUUUGAAGAGGGGGAUGACCACGGCAGUUUUCCAAUCUUUAGGAAUCUCAGACAAUACGAAAGAGAGGUUGAACAGACUAGUAAUAGGGGUUGCAACAAUGGCAGCGGAUAAUUUCAGGAAGAGAGGGUCCAGAUUGUCUAGCCCAGCUGAUUUGUAGGGAUCCAGAUUAUGCAGCUCUUUCAGAACAUCAGCUGUCUGGAUUUGGGUGAAGGAGAAGCGGGGGGGCUUGAGCCAGUUGCUGCGGGGCGUGCAGAGCUGUUGUCCCGGGUUGAGGUGACCAGGUGGAAAGCAUUGCCAGCCGUAGAGAAAUGCUUAUUGAAAUUCUCGAUUAUCAUUGAUUUAUCAGUGGUGACAGUGUUUCCUAUCCUCAGUGCAGUGGACAGCUGGGAGGAGGUGCUCUUAUUCUCCAUGGACUUUACAAUGUCCCAAAACCUUUUGGAAUUAGUGCUGCAGGAUGCAAAUUUCUGUUUGAAAAAGCUAGCCUUUGCUUUCCUAACUGACUGUGUGUAUUGGUUCCUGACUUCCCUGAAAAGUUGCAUAUCGUGGGGACUAUUCGAAGCUAGUGCAGUACGCCACAGGGGGUUUUUGUUUUGGUCAAGGGCAGUCAAGUCUGGAGUGAACCAAGGGCUAUAUCUGUUCUUAGUUCUACAUUUUUUGAAAGGGCAUGCUUGUUUAAGAUGGUGAGGAAAGCACUUUUAAAGAACGACCCCUCAAAGUUAGUGAAAAUAUCUAGACCCCCUGCUCCAGGCCCAAGGAGAGCACUGUUUUGGGCCUAAUAGUUGACUGAAGGGGUUUUAUCCUUCUGGUGCUGGUAAUAGGCCUUGUUACAAUGGCUAAUGUAAUAAUAACACCGGUUAAUGUUAGAACCUUUCUAUUUGUAAUAACACAUUUAUGUAAUAAAACCGGUUAAUAUAAUAACUUGCCGGUUAGCGUAAUAAAAUGUUGAACGGUUAACAUAAUAACUUUUUCCGGUGGAUGUCAUUUUUUAGAUUAACCGAUGGUGAUUAAUUUAACCGGUGAGUAAAAACUUUUCUGAUGAAUGAUGUAAUAACAUGCCAAAAUCAAUAUUUUUAUGCACUACUUCCCUCAAUUUGACGCACAUACCAUUACCCACUGCCAGUUAGAACACAAACAAACUUCAUACGUAGCGACGCUCACAAGCACACAUUGAAAUGUACACACAUGCAUAGUCAUAGACACACACACUCUCUCUCUUUAUGUACAUGACAUGACGUAGCUCUACUUACACAGUAAUGAUGUAAAUGAUUUCACAUUGCAUAUUUUAACUGACAUUAAACUGAGAAUUUUGAAUAAAAUAAUGUUAUUAUGAUGAAAAGCAUUUGUUAUUUUAUAUUUUCUAUCUUCUUUUGCCACCUCUGUUAUUUUCUCUGCUCUCUGUCUAUCUAUGUCCUUCCCCUUUCUGUUCUCCUUUUCUUUACCUCCCUAACAGUCUCCCCCUCCCCACCCCCCCUCUCUCUCUCGCUCUCGCUCUCUCUCACUCUCCCCCGCCCCCCCUCUCUCUCUCUCCCUCUCCCUCCCUCCCCCUCAUUCUCUUUCUCUCUCGCUCUCUCUCUCUCUCUCUCUCUCUCUCUCUCUCUCCCCCAAGUGUGCAUGUAGUCAAGGAGAUGUACAGUUGAAGUCAUAUACAGGCUCAAAUCGGCAGCCCAGCAGGCCCAUUCAGGGUGGUGAAUGGAAGCAGCUCCUGCGCUCGGAGAGCAGAGGUGUUUUUCUAUGGACACUGGAGGACUGUAUUGUGGCUUGAAAGCAGCUAAUGUGUGGAGAAAGAUGGACUGUGGGAAUGCUGUAGCUGCAACUUACAGACCUCAGUUUGGAGGGAAGUGGAGGAUACCAACUAGCAUGUAUUGAUUGCUAAGGUCAGGAUUCUACUCUUGAGCAGUGUACAUUAGUCUCACAUGGAGAUGGUGUCUUUGAGCAUAAGCAUAAUUAUGCUAAUGUCAUCUGCUCAGGUAAGAUUGAUAUGUGUUGUAUUAAAGAUUGUAUCAAACAAAAUUAGGAUAUUUUAGAUUUUCAUUUAAUAUUCAAUAUUCAUAUUUUGGGGGCUGAAAAUACUAGUACCAUCAACAAAACUGAAUGUUCUACCGUCUCUUUUUGUUCAGAUUUUGUCAAGUUUGUGGAUGAAGCUGGUUUCUGCUCUGGAAGAGUGGAGCUGAAGUCCAAUCAGUCCUGGACGUCAGGGUGUGAAGCUGACUUUGACUGGCAGGAUGCAGAGGACGUCUGUCGGGAGCUUGGCUGUGGCACCUUGUUGAGAAUAGAUAAAUAAAUAGUAUGUACUCUUCUUUCUCCAGAGUCUGAUGAUGUGAGGCUGGUGGGAGGAGGCAGUCGCUGCGUUGGUAGAGUGGAAUGGUACCAACAGGGAAAGAGGAAUAUGUGGCCUGUAAAAUAUGGCUGGAAAUUGAAGGAUGUCGCUGAUGUUUUUGUGUAGACAGCUGGACUGUGGCUCCACUGUUUCAACACUACUUGGGAAAAUGCACUGAAGGGUUUGAAGUGUACUGUAAUGGACCUGAGCCGGCGCUCAGGGACUGUGGAAGAGGCACAGGGCCAACUUUGGUGACUCCAUUAAAGGUGAUCUGCUCAGAUCUCCCGCUUAAGCCUGAUAUCUCCAUGACCAUCUCAAUGGGACGGGUCUCCAGGGGCCACCAAAGGACUCUAGAGGUGUUCAGGGGCCACAGCUUCACCAGCACCUGCUCCACUCAGCCACAGCACCCGGGUGUCUCCUUCCUCCUCACGUACCCUGACUCCAAAACAACCCAGACCUAGCCAGCUGUCUAUCACUCUGCUGCCUUCCUCUUUCCCGCUGCAGAUGGCUUCCACCAAGGGAACUACAGCUGUGUUCAUGAGAUUUAUGUUUUUUCACAUGACUUCUCUUCUGAGAGUGAGCUCCUCUCCCUCACUGUCACAGUCUCUCCUCUGACAGCUUUCCACUGUCGGUGAAAGCCAACUCCACCACCUAUCUGUACAUCAAGACCACCAAGAGGCCGAAGCGAGUGGAAGGGGUGAACUUGGAGAUGGUUUCUCUGAAGUCUACAGCUGUAGCCAGAUGGGGAGAGGAGAGAGCAGCCCAGGGUACAGAGUAGGGUGAAGUUGACUGAAAAGUCCAAGUGGGGUCCUUGGGAUGAAAGUUGAAAUUGAAAGUUAAAAUGUUUAAAAUGUAGUUGAAAUCUAAAACAUUUAACGUUGUAAAAAGUUAAGGGUUAAGGUUAGGGUUAAGGUUAGGGUUAUGGUUAUGGUAAGGUUUAGGGUAUCGAUGUCCCAAGGUUUCCGGGUGGCACUAACUGAAGUUGACCGUAGAGACGUUGACCUUAGGUCAGUUUUUUGUUUUCCAGAUAUGAUGGGACUGGUGUGGAUUUGAGGGGACUUUAAUCCCCAUCCAAUCUAAUUAAAUGAGUGGUAAGUUUCCAUUGAUGUUGCUAUUGUUAUGGCUACACUCCUAUUGUUGUAGUUGUCAUUGCUGCCAGACAUAAGAGUUGGCCAGAGCACAGUUAGCAUUAGCCUAGCUUAGCUGAGACAUGAUCAUAUGUCAGCGUAGGGCUAGGUUGCCCCGAGGUGCUGCUCUAAUAUCAACCACCAGCUGUCUCCACUGCUCCCCUCUAAGCCCCACUCGACUUGAGGGGUAACUUGUUCUUACCCUGGGUAACCAACUGAGCGCUCAAGAUACAAUACAAGAUACAAUACCUAAAUCCUAACCUUUGUCAGGUUAUAUCUGUGACAGUUUUUUUGGUUUUAAACUCAACUCUUGAGAUGGAUAACAAAGACAGUUACUUAAUAUAAAGCAUUGAGUUUCCAUUCAUAUAUAGCUACUAAUCACCUUGAGGGGAAAAAAAUGGGAAAAGUCACAUCAACUAAUUUGAACGUUUUUUUAUUUAAGUGAAAGACAUGAUAUUACACGUGACAUGAUAGCUAAUAAAGAUGUACACAUCAUUUAUUACAAGAAUUGUUUGGAAUCACUUCCCUGUGCUCACUCAAAACCUCCACUCCUUCAGUCUGGGUUAGACACACAGAUGGCAGCCAAUCUCUUCAGUAAAUAUCAGUAGUUUCAUUGACUCCAGCUCAGAAUAAAGAGAAAACCCUAACAAAACGAGUGGUAGAAACCCCAUCAGAGGACACAUUCUGCCCACAGAGUCCAAUCAUGGCUUCAGAGAGCUAAAUAACCAUGGUGAUAUUGUCUGAACAGCUGUUUGUGUGUGAAAGUGAGAGUGCAUUGCGCAUAUAUGUUCCUGUGACUUUUUGCUAUUUUGCUAUUAUUAGCAUCAAAUGAUGUUAUUUGUGUGGGUCAGUGCAAAUAGUGUACAUGUGGGUGGGUUGUGCGUGUGUGUUCAGCAGUGGGUGAUCAGUGUGUGCACGGAGGUGUGUGCGAGGGAGCUGCGUGAAGGAUUAGCCCCAGUGUGUGUCCACCAGUGAUUAGCCUGGUCAGUGGGCCUGUUGUGCAUUCACCCAGUCCAUUAGCAUAUUAAUGCUGCCUCCCUCUUGAUCUCUCUGUCUCUCUCUUUUCUCCACCCUCUCUCUUUCUCUUUCCUUUCUAUAGCUAUUUCCCGAGUCUCGCUCGAACUUCCUCCCUGGCAAUUUUUUUCUCAACUUAUUUUGUACUUCCCUUUCUCUCUGCGCUCAGUUUGGGCCCUUCGUACUUUACACAUUUCUCUCUUCCUUGUUCUCUUGUCUUUCCCUCCAAAAAUGUCCUAUUGCCCUUUUCUCCUCCUUCUUUCUCUUCCGAAAUCCCUCCUUCCCUGAUAAUCCCAGUCUCUCGCCCCAAGCCCCGUCUCUCCCUACAAUCUCCAAAUCCUUUACAGUGCUUUACUUUCGCUCUCGUUUUCCCUAUUAUUCCGUAGCCUAACCCCUGAACCUUGCCAAACACAGGCAAAUGCAAACACACACACCUCACUUCAUUCAUUCAAUCUAAUUUUCUCUCACUCUCUCCCCUUUCCUGCUAGAAGUGUGCAUCUUGUGAGACCUUUUGUGAAUAGCUUUGAAAGAAAAAGCAACCUAGAAAACAGGGACUGAAGUGCAAACCGGACACAUUCAACAGUACUUAACAUUAUAAAUGCUAUUCAUUUCUCCCUCUAAUGACUUCAGCCUCCAAGUAGACUCAACCUCUUGUUCUGGCUCUUAACCGCCACCGUGAGCCACGUUUAGAAGCUGGAGAAUAGUAGAAGUAAAAAUAAUUUCUUGGAAAAAGCCCAGUGUGCUAAAGGUGAGCAUUUAUACCCACACGUUUCCUUCUGUCCCUUCCAUGUCUGCAUUACUGGAGAUUUCUGGAGGUCAGGGGCGUGAUGUCCAUCCACAACUCCUGGUUUCAGGGAGGCAGACACAAGAAUUGCGUUUGGACAAUCAGCUCCGGACCCCCUGGGUCAGCACAUAGCAGGGAUGGAUGGGCAGACGUUUGGAUAGACAUAGGGUACAGAGAAACGUAUAGGGAAAUUAAGGCCUCUGAAACCCUAACUCAACCACCCUUUCUGUAUGUUCAUGACACAAUGAUGAACGCAGGGUCACUUUGCAGGGCAGCACCCCAAGGCAGCAGCAAUGUGACCCAUACAAAAGGGCUCCCCAUGGUCACACGGAUCAAAGAGACAAAAGCUCCCUAUGAUAACUUAGUGCAGCCGAGUGUUAACACAUGAGCAGCCAAGGUAAGAGCUGGAAACAAAAGUGAGAAGUUGAAACAAAAGUAGCCCCCCAAACUGAAUUGCUCUAUGCAACAUUUGUCUUUCAAUAUGAGCUGUGUCAAAAUGAAUAAUAUGGGCCGCUUUCGAAAGGCCUCAGCCAUUCAUUGAUGCUCCAUGUGCUGCUCACAAUUGAAGAGCAGCCCCGUACGCCCCACAAAGAGAAAUAAAGUAUUUCAUAUCCAUAUCUUAAAGUUAAUGUUAACAGUUAUUUGUUUGAGUAGAUACUAUUGAGUAGAUACUAUAAAAAGUCAUAUUUAAAAGUCUAAUGAAGACUUGUUUUUCUUUUGAAUUCAGAAAAUGCCCUUUUUCUUAAAUAUUUGAUUACAGAA